rnacentral:rRNA from 1 species
UACGGAAGGGGCAAGCGUUGUUCGGAAUCAUUGGGCGUAAAGGGCGCGUAGGUGGUUCUGUAUGUCUACCGUGAAAGCAUACGGCUCAACUGUAUUUUGUCGGUAGAAACUGCAGGACUUGAGGCUGGGAGGGGCUGGUGGAAUUCCCUGUGUAGCGGUGAAAUGCGCAGAUAUCGGGAGGAACACCCGUGGCGAAGGCGGUUCUCUGGGACGGUACUGACGCUGAGACGCGAAAGCGUGGGGAGCGAACAGG